rnacentral:lncRNA from 1 species
AAAAUAUAGGCAACCAGAGCAUUCACAUCUGAUUCCUGUUGCCAUGACAAUGGCUUUAAUCCCUCUUUUGUGCAUGGAAGGGCUUGCUUGCUUUCUCCAAGCCUGAUGCUCAGCUGCUCCAAAUUCCUUACAUGAAGAAAGAUAAGAUAAGGCUAAUAGAAGACUAACAACAAACAAGAUAAAAAAACACCAGUGAUUAGACCAUGCUGCAGGGAAUUACGUUGGCCACAUUUUCUCCUCAUGAACGAGCUGAUGUGGGUGAGAUCCUUCUAUGCUGCAGGGAAGAAUCCUGGGAAGGUUCUGAACCUUUUAGUGCACAGCACUGAGACAGGUGUGGCGCCAGCUGAUAUCCCUGCCUGAAGAUGGCAGCUUCCUCUUCGCUACCACUUCAAAGCAGUACUCUUCAGCUCAAGAGGGCUGGAGUAACCUGUGCCAGCAUUCAAACUCCAGCCUCCAGAUUAGGCAGGCCAAUGAAGAGAGGAGGGAGAGCUGUGGCUGCAGAGGUCUCAGCUGCAGUCACUUGAUUCUUCACAGAGCAGAUUGCCAUGUAUAAUAAAGAGGCAGUGGAGAUUGUCCUGUGGAAUAGA